rnacentral:rRNA from 1 species
CGAGCUGGGUUCAGAACGUCGUGAGACAGUUCGGUCCCUAUCCGUCGCAGGCGUAGGAAAUUUGAGAAGACCUGUCCUUAGUACGAGAGGACCGGGAUGGACGUACCUCUGGUGUACCAGUUGUUCUGCCAAGGGCAUGGCUGGGUAGCUAUGUACGGAAUGGAUAAGCGCUGAAAGCAUCUAAGCGCGAAGCCAACUUCAAGAUAAGAUUUCCCACCGCAAGGGUAAGACCCCAGAAAGACUAUCUGGUUGAUAGGUCGAAGGUGUAAGUGCAGCAAUGUAUUUAGCUUAUCGAUACUAAUAGGUCGAGGACUUGACCAAU